rnacentral:rRNA from 1 species
CCCUUAGAUGUUCUGGGCCGCACGCGCGCUACACUGAUGCAUUCAACGAGUUUCUUCCUGGUCCGAGAGGAAUGGGUAACCUUUUGAAAGUGCAUCAUGAUAGGGAUAGACUAUUGCAAUUAUUGGUCUUCAACGAGGAAUUCCUAGUAGACGUAGUUCAUCAGACUGCAUCGAUUACGUCCCUGCCCUUUGUACACACCGCCCGUCGCUCCUACCGAUUGAAUGCUCAGGUGAGCCAUUCGGACCUUCAUCAUGCCGGUUUCCGGUUUUGAUGAGGGAAAGUCUUGCGAACCUUAUCAUUUAGAGGAAGGAGAAGUCGUAACA